GAGAACAAUGGCAACUGACAGCUGCUCCAUGACAGGGCUACCCUCCAACCAGCCAAGGUCAUCCCUGCUUCAGCAUGGAAUGCAUCCACUUCAGACCCAACUACCAAAAAGUAGGUAGAAGAAUAGAAGCCAGCUUUUCCAAAUGUAGAAUCAAAAGUUGACUGAAGUCUAAAUUUCUCUGCCCAUUGAGACUGAGGCUAAGUCCAGAUUUUCAGCUUAAGACUUAAAAUGUGGAGAUUUUGCCAGUGUAAGGAGUCAGACAAUAAGAAAGGGGCUGGCAGUGGGAGAAGUGAGGUUUUGCAUCCCUCCCUCCUCUCCCUCAUUUCCCCUCCCUGGAACACAACAUAUUUCUACCAGGAGUAAAAAUAAAUAAAUCCCCAGUUGUCUUGCUGUGUCCAA